rnacentral:lncRNA from 1 species
GGCACACUUUACAGAGCUCAAAAAUUGGCCUUGGCCUAUUCUGGUAGCAGUUGUCUACCUCACUCCUGAAAAAAUUAUCUAUGCAUUAUUUUUGGCAUACUGACACAGAGCUGAAUCACUUUAAAGAGAAGGACCAGAUUCUCAUGGACCCUACUGCCAUGCUGGACAGACAGCUUGCUGCCAUUGUUUUCUUGUUAUUUACUCCCAAACAGGUAAAUAUCCAGAGACUAAAAGGAGUUAUGCUAUAAAUAAGUUUUUGUAUGUGUGUGAGUGUGUGUGCAUGUAUUAUAG